CGGGGAGCCCCGGCGCAGCUUGGGAGCAGCGCGGCCUUAGCGGCGGCGGCAGAAGGGCGGGUCUGGGCCGCGCCGGCUGCGGGCGGAGCCGGUGGCGGAGUGGCGGGUCCUGUGACCCGCGUCUGUAUUUCUAAACUAUCUGAGCCUGUGUUAACCCUACUGGCAUUAACUGGAUUUUGUACCUGAUGAUUUGUGAGAAUGGGAAAAAAUACCAAGAACCCCUUGAAGCUCACCUGCGCUCCUCUAAUGAGGUUUCAUGCGCAAAAGGAUAUCCCUGCCGGGGAUAUGCUUCCUUUGGCUGGUUCGGCUGAAGUCUAAAUCGGCCUGGAGGCAAAGGCCAUGUCCAAAUCCUGCAGCAGGACAUGUUAUCAGAAUGUACUUAGAGUAGUCAUUAGUCCUUAGUGGGGAAAUAAAAAAGGAAGUGAUUAAUGAAAUGAUCCAUACAGUGUGGCUGCUCCAAGAGGAAGACACAAAUCCAAACACUGGUCUGAGUUUUGAAGACAAGAGGGUCACCAAACAGGAUGAAAGAAACUUACCCAACACCAAUUUGAUGUGAAUAAGGAGACGCUUCUUUAUUUCAGUGCAGAGGACACAUGGGAUUACUCCUCCAAACGUGUUCCACUUAGUAAACAAAAUCCAUCAAUUUUAUAUACUUUUUCUGCCAAGUCAUUGUUACAUAAGUUGUUUUACAUACUAUGCAUAAUACGUCUGCUCUGCUUAAAUUUAACCUUUGCAAUAAUUGGUUUUGCUAGUUAUAUAACUUCAUUAAUAUUUCUACCCUAAGACAAUCAUUGGUCAUCUCUACUGAGCUCUACUGAUUGGAAUCCUUGACAUUCAAAUUAAGAUGGGAAGUGUAGGGGGUUUCUGAGCAGCAUAACUGGUGUGCAUGAUGAUCUCCAUAGCUUCUUGAACAAAAUACAAAAAAUCCAGUAACUUCUUGGUUACACUUCUAUGGUUGCAUGUUUUAAACACAGCACUCCUAAUAUUGCUAUACCUUGUAUUUUACAAUUUCCUACUUGUAAUCAUAAAUAACUUUUAUAUGAUUAAAUCAAUUAUUUUAUUAGAAUA